GAUGAAGAACGUAGUGAAAUGCGAUAAGUAAUGUGAAUUGCAGAAUUCAGUGAAUCAUCGAAUCUUUGAACGCACAUUGCGCCCUCUGGUAUUCCGGGGGGCAUGCCUGUUCGAGCGUCAUUAUAACCACUCAAGCUUUCGCUUGGUAUUGGGGCUCGCGGUUCCGCGGCCCCUAAAAUCAGUGGCGGUGCCUGUCGGCUCUACGCGUAGUAAUACUCCUCGCGAUUGAGUCCGGUAGGUCUACUUGCCAGCAACCCCCAAUUUUUACAGGUUGACCUCGGAUCAGGUAGGGAUACCCGCUGAACUUAAGCAUAUCAAUAAGCGGAGGA
rnacentral:misc_RNA from 1 species